GGUUCCUUAGCUCAGUGGAUAGAGCAACUGCCUUCUAAGCAGUAGGUCGUAGGUUCGAAUCCUACAGGAAUCGCCA
rnacentral:tRNA from 1 species